UGACAUACAAAACCCAAUAGUAUUUAAAAUUGUGUUGUCAACCAAAUAUAUUUUAAAAGCGUUAUUUUCUGCUCAAUCUUGGAUUAUUUAUUCUUUAAAUGUGCAAGAACCGUGAUUUUUAUUAAAUUGAGCUGCACAGUACAUAGUCUCAAAUAAUUGAGUUCAGCCAAAUAAUGAGGGGAGCAUGAUGAAAGAAUAAUUUAUUUUUGCUGUAUUAUCCAGGUUGAAAUACAUUUUGCUUUGACACCAAAUAAA